AGCGAACGCUGGCGGCAGGCCUAACACAUGCAAGUCGAACGAACCUUUCGGGGUUAGUGGCGGACGGGUGAGUAACACGUGGGAACGUGCCUUUAGGUUCGGAAUAACUCAGGGAAACUUGUGCUAAUACCGAAUGUGCCCUUCGGGGGAAAGAUUAAUCGCCUUUAGAGCGGCCCGCGUCUGAUUGGCUAGUUGGUUGAGGUAAUGGCUCACCAAGGCGACGAUCAGUAGCUGGUCUGAGAGGAUGAUCAGCCACAUUGGGACUGAGACACGGCCCAAACUCCUACGGGAGGCAGCAGUGGGGAAUCUUGCGCAAUGGGCGAAAGCCUGACGCAGCCAUGCCGCGUGAAUGAUGAAGGUCUUAGGAUUGUAAAAUUCUUUCACCGGGGACGAUAAUGACGGUACCCGGAGAAGAAGCCCCGGCUAACUUCGU
rnacentral:rRNA from 1 species